rnacentral:rRNA from 1 species
AACGAACGCUGGCGGCAUGCCUAACACAUGCAAGUCGAACGAUGGCUUCGGCCAUAGUGGCGCACGGGUGCGUAACGCGUGGGAAUCUGCCCUUGGGUUCGGAACAACCGUUGGAAACGACGGCUAAUACCGGAUGACGUCGAUAAGACCAAAGAUUUAUCGCCCGAGGAAGAGCCCGCGUAGGAUUAGCUAGUUGGUGUGGUAAGAGCGCACCAAGGGGACGAUCCUUAGCUGGGCUGAGAGGAUGAUCAGCCACACUGGGACUGAGACGCGGGCCAGACUUCUACGGGAGGCAGCAGUGGGGAAUAUUGGACAAUGGGCGAAAGCCUGAUCCAGCAAUGCCGCGUGAGUGAUGAAGGCCUUAGGGUUGUAAAGCUCUUUUACCCGGGAUGAUAAUGACAGUACCGGGAGAAUAAGCCCCGGCUAACUCCGUGCCAGCCGCCGCCGUAAGAC